GAUUCUAGCAUAAAUCAUUGGGGGAAAGAAGCAUCUUGGAGCAAUGGGAAGAACAUGGGGAGAGGGGGAGUUAAGCCCCUGAUUUCCCAUCUAGGAAAUACUAAGAGGUUAAGUGACUUCCUCAACAUCACAUAACCAAUCGGUGGUCAGAGAUACCCUGAAACACUAUCUACAUGAGCCAACACUUCCUUAAUGAAUGGUAAAGUAUACAGGAAGUAUUUGAGAGUAAUAAGCAAUUCUAGACUGCUGAGAACUAGAAAUUGAAGAUUUGUGGUCGUCUUCAGAACUCUCCAUCCUGCCUUCCUUCCCCCAGACACUCAUCACUGGGAAAUGUCAUCAUCCUACAAGAUUGACUCUCAUUAGUACCUUCUGCCCUUCUCACUGGACCCUCCCAACUGGAAGGCAGGACCAUGGACUCCAGGAACUCUAUGAAAAAGACUACCCCUUGGCUUUCCUUCUCGAACCUAAGUGAGAUUGGAAUUACAGAUUUAGAAAUGAAAAGGACCUUAGAGGUCUUCUAGAUUAAAGUGGUAUGUGAAUUACUUAAGAAAAACAGUAAUUUUGUGUGCUUCUAUAGACAUUAAGCCAAAUCAGAUCAUA